rnacentral:rRNA from 1 species
GAUGAACGCUGGCGGCGUGCUUAACACAUGCAAGUCGAACGAGUGUAUUAACUUCGGUUUUUACACUAGUGGCGGACGGGUGAGUAACGCGUGAGUAACCUGCCUCUAAGUGGGGAAUACCUCAAAGAAAUUUGAGCUAAUACCGCAUAUUAUUUACUUUAGGCAUCUUUAGUAAAUGAAAGAUUUAUCGCUUAGAGAUGGGCUCGCGUCCCAUUAGGUAGUUGGUGAGGUAACGGCCCACCAAGCCGACGAUGGGUAGCCGACCUGAGAGGGUGAUCGGCCACAUUGGAACUGGGAAACGGUCCAGGCUCCUACGGGAGGCAGCAGUGAGGAAUAUUGGGCAAUGGAGGAAACUCUGACCCAGCAACGCCGCGUGAAUGAUGAAGGUCUUCGGAUUGUAAAGUUCUGUGAUGGGGGACGAAGAAAGUGACGGUACCCCAAUAGCAAGCCACGGCUAACUACGUGCCAGCCGCCGCGGUAACAC